GAUUAGGAAUGCAGUGGUCAACACUGCAUUUGUAGUCAUCCACAUGAGAACCUUUCUCGGCCUUCACUGGUCGGUUGGGGGAUCAUGUACUUUACUUUGAAAAAAUCAGAGUGUUUCAGGCAGGCGUUUGCAUGAAUACACAAGCAUGGAAUAAUGGAAUAGGACUAGGGUCCAUUUUAUUGGUUAUUGGACCAUAGUA
rnacentral:rRNA from 1 species